rnacentral:rRNA from 1 species
GAUGAACGCUGGCGGCGUGCUUAACACAUGCAAGUCGAACGAUGAAGCCCAGCUUGCUGGGUGGAUUAGUGGCGAACGGGUGAGUAACACGUGAGUAACCUGCCCUUAACUCUGGGAUAAGCCUGGGAAACUGGGUCUAAUACCGGAUAGGAGCGUCCACCGCAUGGUGGGUGUUGGAAAGAUUUAUCGGUUUUGGAUGGACUCGCGGCCUAUCAGCUUGUUGGUGAGGUAAUGGCUCACCAAGGCGACGACGGGUAGCCGGCCUGAGAGGGUGACCGGCCACACUGGGACUGAGACACGGCCCAGACUCCUACGGGAGGCAGCAGUGGGGAAUAUUGAACAAUGGGCGCAAGCCUGAUGCAGCGACGCCGCGUGAGGGAUGACGGCCUUCGGGUUGUAAACCUCUUUCAGUAGGGAAGAAGCGAAAGUGACGGUACCUGCAGAAGAAGCACCGGCUAACUACGUG